rnacentral:rRNA from 1 species
AAAUUGAAGAGUUUGAUCAUGGCUCAGAUUGAACGCUGGCGGCAGGCCUAACACAUGCAAGUCGAGCGGUAACACAGAGAGCUUGCUCUCGGGUGACGAGCGGCGGACGGGUGAGUAAUGUCUGGGAAACUGCCUGAUGGAGGGGGAUAACUACUGGAAACGGUAGCUAAUACCGCAUAACGUCGUAAGACCAAAGUGGGGGACCUUCGGGCCUCAUGCCAUCAGAUGU